ensembl:snoRNA
GUAGAGACUGGAUUCUCACCUCGACAUCACUCAUUGUCUUGGAGAGCUAGAGUCCUCUUAGAGUGAAGACUGCUCCAAUUCACCGACUGGUUCCUUGUAGGCCAGCCGGCCGCUUGGUCAGUUACAACC